rnacentral:rRNA from 1 species
UACGUAGGGGGCAAGCGUUGUCCGGAUUUAUUGGGCGUAAAGAGCGUGUAGGCGGCCAGAUAGGUCCGUUGUGAAAACUGGAGGCUUAACCUCCAGCUGUCGAUGGAAACCAUCUGGCUAGAGUCCGGAAGAGGAGAGUGGAAUUCCUGGUGUAGCGGUGAAAUGCGCAGAUAUCGGGAGGAACACCAGAGGCGAAGGCGGCGCACUGGACAGCAACUGACACUCAACUGCGAAAGCGUGGGGAGCAAACAGG